rnacentral:misc_RNA from 1 species
AAGACUAUAGACCUGCGGAGUACCUGCGGAGGGAUCAUUAUUGAAUUAUGUUUCUAAAUGGGUUGUAGCUGGCUCGUCAGAGCAUGUGCACGCCUGUUUGGACUCCAUUUUCAUCCACCUGUGCACCUAUUGUAGUCUUUGGUUGGGUAUCAAGGAAGUGGUCAGCCUAUCAGCACUUGCUGGAUGUGAGGACUUGCAGUGUGAAAGCUUUGCUGUCCUUUACUUGAUCAUGGAGUUGUU